GAUGAAGAACGUAGCGAAAUGCGAUACGUAAUGUGAAUUGCAGAAUUCAGUGAAUCAUCGAAUCUUUGAACGCACAUUGCGCCCCCUGGUAUUCCGGGGGGCAUGCCUGUCCGAGCGUCAUUGCUGCCCUCAAGCACGGCUUGUGUGUUGGGCCCCGUCCUCCGAUCCCGGGGGACGGGCCCGAAAGGCAGCGGCGGCACCGCGUCCGGUCCUCGAGCGUAUGGGGCUUUGUCACCCGCUCUGUAGGCCCGGCCGGCGCUUGCCGAUCAACCCAAAUUUUUAUCCAGGUUGACCUCGGAUCAGGUAGGGAUACCCGCUGAACUUAAGCAUAUCAAUAAGCGGAGGA
rnacentral:misc_RNA from 1 species